UAGCUAUUGCCAAUUGCUCAGCUUGGUA
rnacentral:sRNA from 1 species